GGGUGCCUGGUGUGCAUGUGUACCCAGGUAUGGAAUACACAGAAGGACCAUCACUCAAAGAAGCAUUAAUGGAUUACACGGAAGAUAAACCAGUCAAAAGUGUGUGCACGCAUAUACACCCAAAAUCUAGUCUUUGGAUGAAUUAUAUUUUGUUGACAGAGUUUGAAGAAGAAGCAAAUGAAAUCAGGUCAUAAUGCCACUUUCAAGAGCAGUUAAAAACCAAAUCAAACAAUGGAAGCACAUUGAACGUAUAGGAAUGAAGCCUCACACCCUGAAACAACUUCAACUGAUACAAAACACAGCAGCCCACAUGCUUAGCAACAUGAAAACACCACUCCAGUGCUCUGCUCUGUUCUCUACACUGGCUCCUUAUAGAAUACAAAGUGGAGUUCAAGAUCUCUUUCUCUUCCAAGGUCUCAAGUUCAAGGUCUCAAAAAUAUUCAAAGCUGUCCAUGAGAUAGCCUUCACCUCUACAACCAUGGAAAUAAAGCUGUCAGCCAUUUAAAGGAGGCUCUUGAGUGCAAGAGACAGAACUUCCAAAAAGCCCAUGAAAGCUU